UACGUAGGGUGCAAGCGUUGUCCGGAAUUAUUGGGCGUAAAGAGCUCGUAGGCGGUCUGUCGCGUCUGCUGUGAAAACUCAGGGCUUAACCCUGAGCUUGCAGUGGGUACGGGCAGACUAGAGUGAUGUAGGGGAGACUGGAAUUCCUGGUGUAGCGGUGAAAUGCGCAGAUAUCAGGAGGAACACCGAUGGCGAAGGCAGGUCUCUGGGUAUUAACUGACGCUGAGGAGCGAAAGCAUGGGGAGCGAACAGG
rnacentral:rRNA from 1 species